GACGAACGCUGGCGGCGUGCUUAACACAUGCAAGUCGAACGGUAAGGCCCUUCGGGGUACACGAGUGGCGAACGGGUGAGUAACACGUGGGUGAUCUGCCCUGCACUUCGGGAUAAGCCUGGGAAACUGGGUCUAAUACCGGAUAGGACUCCUGGCUUCAUGGUUGGGGGUGGAAAGCUUUUGCGGUGUGGGAUGGGCCCGCGGCCUAUCCGCUUGUUGGUGGGGGAAUGGCCUACCAAGGCGACGACGGGUAGCCGGCCUGAGAGGGUGACCGGUCACACUGGGACUGAGAUACGGCCCAGACUCCUACGGGAGGCAGCAGUGGGGAAUAUUGCACAAUGGGCGCAAGCCUGAUGCAGCGACGCCGCGUGAGGGAUGACGGCCUUCGGGUUGUAAACCUCUUUCAGCUAUGACGAAGCGCAAGUGACGGUAGUGGCAGAAGAAGGACCGGCCAACUACGUGCCAGCAGCCGCAGUAA
rnacentral:rRNA from 1 species